rnacentral:rRNA from 1 species
UUCCGGUUGAUCCUGCCGGACCCGACUGCUAUCAGAGUGGGACUAAGCCAUGCGAGUCAACGCCGCAAGGCGUGGCAUACGGCUCAGUAACACGUAGUCAACAUGCCCAAAGGACGUGGAUAACCUCGGGAAACUGAGGAUAAACCGCGAUAGGCCAAGGUUUCCGGAAUGAGCCAUGGUCGUAAUCUAUAUGGCCUUUGGAUUGGACUGCGGCCGAUCAGGCUGUUGGUGAGGUAAUGGCCCACCAAACCUGUAACCGGUACGGGCUUUGAGAGAAGGAGCCCGGAGAUGGGCACUGAGACAAGGGCCCAGGUCCUAUGGGGCGCAGCAGGCGCGAAACCUCUGCAAUAGGCGAAAGCCUGACAGGGUUACACUGAGUGAUGCCCGCUAAGGGUAUCUUUUGGCACCUCUAAAAAUGGUGCAGAAUAAGGGGUGGGCAAGUCUGGUGUCAGCCGCCGCGGUAAUACCAGCACCCCGAGUUGUCGGGACGAUUAUUGGGCCUAAAGCAUCCGUAGCCUGUUCUGCAAGUCCUCCGUUAAAUCCACCUGCUUAACGGAUGGGCCGCGGGGGAUACUGCAGAGCUAGGAGGCGGGAGAGGCAAACGGUACUCAGUGGGUAGGGGUAAAAUCCAUUGAUCUACUGAAGACCACCAGUGGCGAAGGCGGUUUGCCAGAACGCGCUCGACGGUGAGGGAUGAAAGCUGGGGGAGCAAACCGGAUUAGAUACCCGGGUAGUCCCAGCUGUAAACGAUGCAGACUCGGUGAUGGGUUGG